GGUAGGCAUGUCUAGUAUAAGCACUUUAUACUGUGAAACUGCGAAUGGCUCAUUAAAUCAGUUAUCGUUUAUUUGAUAGUACCUUACUACAUGGAUACCUGUGGUAAUUCUAGAGCUAAUACAUGCUAAAAACCCCGACUUCGGAAGGGGUGUAUUUAUUAGAUAAAAAACCAAUGCCCUUCGGGGCUCCUUGGUGAUUCAUAAUAACUUAACGAAUCGCAUGGCCUUGCGCCGGCGAUGGUUCAUUCAAAUUUCUGCCCUAUCAACUUUCGAUGGUAGGAUAGUGGCCUACCAUGGUGGCAACGGGUAACGGGGAAUUAGGGUUCGAUUCCGGACAGGGAGCCUGAGAAACGGCUACCACAUCCAAGGAAGGCAACAAGAAA
rnacentral:rRNA from 1 species